AUUCAGAUUCAUUGACUUCCUGAUUAGACAAUUCCUUUUGUACUUGCUUAGCAUAAGUUAGAAUUCGAUCUGUUUGAUUGACUGGUAAAAUGACAGCAUGUCUAGGACUUAGCCAAAAUGGCCAGUGUCCAUUUAAAUGCUCGAUAAGGAUUCCCAUAAAGCGCUCUAAGGAUCCAAAUAUAGCACGAUGAAUCAUUACAGGUUGUUUAAUGAGUUUCUCAGACCCGGCAUUGUCUCCCGCAUCUGUGCGAUAAUAUAAUUUAAAUCGUUGAGGUAAAUUAAAAUCUAAUUGAAUAGUUGCCGUUUGAUGCCACUUUCCACGAGCAUCUGCAACCAUUACAUCGAUCUUAGGACCGUAAAAAGCACCAUCUCCUUCAUUGAUGAUCCACGUUUCACCACUUUCUUGUAAAGCCUCUCGCAACCCGUUUUCUGCUUCAUUCCAUGUAUCUAAAGAACCGAUAUGCUCUUCAGGUCGGGUGCUAAGGUAUAGUUUUAGUUUGUUCAUUCCCAAUAAAGAAUAAACUUGCUUCACAAAAGUGAGAGUAUUUUUUAUCUCGUCUUUUAUGCUCUCGGGUGAACAAAAGAUAUGACCAUCAUCUUGAUGAAAGCAUCUUAAUCUAGUUAGUCCAGAAAGUGCGCCUGAUGCUUCAUUCCUAUGUAAUGGACUGAAAUCUGCAAACCGCAAGGGUAAUUCUUUGUAAGAACGUUCAGUACUAGCAUAUACAAUACAAUGUCCGGGACAAUUCAUAGGCUUUAAUCCAUAAGUGGCAUUGGAAUGCUCAUCCUCGACAUUACGGCUUUCUUCAACACGAAAUAUUUCUUUCUCGUAGUUUUGCCAAUGACCACUUUUUUCCCAUAAGUCCUUUUUAAAAAUUAAAGGCGUUAUAAUCUCUUCAAACCCAUGUAUUUGAUAUUGAGCUCGUAGAAAAUCAACUAAACGAUUAUAUAUACGCGUUCCGUGGGGUAAAAAAAAUAUUGAACCGGGAGUCAGUAUACUUGUAGUAUACAAUUUUUGGCGAGCUGCUAUAGUACGGUGAUCAUUCAAAGUUGAUUCGGGUUGCUUGAGGUUAUUAGCUUUUGUAGAAAAAGGCGUUGGCCCGAAUCGGGCUGUGUAAAUUUCAACCCGAUUGCAUGAAUGAGCGAAUGGAGUAUGCAAUUGAAAUUUUUUUAAUUUCAUCAUUCGUUAAAUCUAUAAGCUUUCUUUUACUAUUUUUUCAUCAAAAUGGUAAUUGGGGUUUUCAGAUGAUAUACGUAUAGGGUACUUUGUAUACGCUAUAUACGAUAAAUGUUUAAGUACCCUUCUAAACAUACUACACGUUCAACAAAAUACACCUCAACAAUUAAACUACAAGAAAAAGAAAAUAUUCAUUGGAUCUAGAAAGCAUACUACUUUGAUCACAAGUACAACUUAUCAAUUUUUCAAAGGACGAUUACAUAAACAUUGAUUAGAUAAUAUUAAUAAUUAUGAGCUUGUUCUAGCGCUGAAAUUGAUAAAAAGUCAAUAAGUGAUAGUGUUAACUAUCUAAGCAAAUCCAAAAAAGGAGCUUACGCUUCUUCACCGGAAUCAGAUACAAGGAUAAAGUUGUAGAAAAACUCAAUACUGUCCAUAUGAGCGUCGUAACGCAUAUUCUCAUUAAUAGUAUGACCAUUAAAAGAAUUCUUAGACGUAGAAUUAGUAGAAACAGGGGUCCAGCGGUAAAUAUUAGAAGUCAAGU